rnacentral:rRNA from 1 species
GUGGUGUGGAUGUUUAUUGGGCCUAAAGCAUCCGUAGCUGGCUAGGUCAGUCCCUUGUUAAAUCCACCGAAUUAAUCGUUGGAUUGCGGGGGAUACUGCUUGGCUAGGGGACGAGAGAGGCAGACGGUAUUUCCGGGGUAGGGGUGAAAUCCUAUAAUCCCGGGAAGACCACCAGUGGCGAAGGCUGUCGGCUAGA